GGGUCUAUAGUUCAGGGGUUAGAGUGCUGGUCUUGUAAACCAGGGAUUGCAAGUUCAUAUCUCGCUGGGGCCC
rnacentral:tRNA from 1 species